rnacentral:lncRNA from 1 species
GCCUUUAGCCAUGAAAAAAAACAAAAAAAAGGGCUUAGUACUGUUAUGUUACUAGAAAAAAACUUGAUUUAAAAACAAGGACAAAAAAUGCUAUCUGCUCAUAGUUGCAAAUACUAUCUCUCCAUAGUCGAUCAACUCAUUGAAGUGACAUAACAAAAAGAUUGAUACUAGUAUAGGUGACCAUUUAACACAGAAACGCGGCUGCCCCAUAAGUAUAAAAAUAGACACACAAAAAAAAUUGCUACCAAAUUACAAAUAACUUGCCUCACUACUAAUAUUAACUUGCUUAAUAACUAAAAUUGCACGCAUAUUUUAAAAGUGGUUCUCUACUACUCAUAAACACUUAGAAACACAUGCACCAAAAUGCAUUGUUUUAGGAUUCAUCUAGCCUGUUGCACACUCCAGCUUUCCUGCAACAGAAAAAAGUUGGCAAAAAUAAAUCAACUUUGGUGUCAACUUUACUAUAACAACAUGGCAGAAAAAAGCGUGUGGAGCUAGAAAAAUGUAAUUUUUUGUGUGGGGUGGGGUAGGAAGCAGAGGUGCAAAUAUUUAUUCAAAAAAAUUACUGAAAAAAUCAAUCCAAUAGAAACUGUAACAUACUUAACACAAAAAAAAUAUAUCUCAUUUACCUCAGCCUUUCCCUUCUUGAUUGAGAAGGAACAACUUCUAGUGGUGUUGGUUCUGUUUCCCUUGAAUCACCAGCCGGUGGAUCAACUUUGUUGGUUGCAUCAUCCUCACCAGAGACACCCUCAUCCUCUAGCUCCACUUCUUUGGCCACCUCCUCAUCCUCUAGCUCCACUUCUUUGUCCACCUCCUCAUCUUCCUCGUCCUCGUCCUCAUCCUCGUCCUCCAUCCAAUCCUCCUCCUCCUCCUCCUCAUCCUCCUCGUCCUCCUCGAUCUCUUCAUCUUCAUCAACAUCCUGCUUGUGAGUAUUGGUAGUUCUUUUCCGUGUUGAUCUUCUGGGCUCCUCAUCCCCUUUGUCUUCAUUUGUGUUCUUUUGAUUAGGAUUGGUAGUUCUUCUCCGUCUAGCUGUUCUGGUCUCCUCUUGCUCCUCAGAAUCAUCACUAAUUGUGGACACCUCACUUAUAAAUGUUCCUAUCACUUCAGUGAAACCGAUACAAGCUUUCUUGACAAUUUCAGACAACUUCCUUUUCUUCUGUAAUUAAAAAAAGUGUAAAAAAUGUUAGCUCAUAAGUGAUAUGUAUCCCUUAAUAUUGUAACAUCUAUUUCAGCUGAUAUGUAUGCCUAUUUUCAAGAAAACUAUGUAGUUUCUGAAGCAAAAAAGACCCUGGAAAAAAAGGUAAUCUAUAUAAAAACAAAGUGCUCACACGUCUUUAUAUGGGUUUCUACACUUCCUUUUCAAGAACACAUAGACAACUCAUUCGCUGUCACUUGCUUUUGGAAGGUGCUAUCUAUAACAAUUGAUUCCAGGAUUCAGCUGCGCCCAACAGAGCAUACCUUUGGCAGUUUAAUCACUGCCACAUCUCUGUCAUCAGGCAGCUCGGCUGUGCUUGACCAAGUAUUCGUGAGUGUGCUGAAAUCUGGCUGUUCUAGUGACCUCUAUGUGGGAAGUGCUCUGGUUAGCGCUUUUGCGAGACAUGGCUUGAUUGAUGAAGCUAAGGACAUCUUUCUCAGUUUCAAAAAAGAAAAAGAAUGCAGUCACCUUAAACGGAUUGAUAGUUGGCUUGGUCAAGCAACACUGCAGUGUAAGAAGCAGUAAAAAGUUUUUUGUGGGAACAAGGAAUACUAUUGUUGUAUGUUGUGUUGCUCAGUGCCAUAGCUGAAUAUUCUAUACCUGAAAGAAGGUUUGAGGAUCAACAAACUUCUAGUGGUGUUGGUUCUGUUUCCCUUGAAUCACCGGCCGGUGGAUCAACUUUGUUGGUUGCAUCAUCCUCACCAGAGACACCCUCAUCCUCUAGCUCCACUUCUUUGGCCACCUCCUCAUCCUCUAGCUCCACUUCUUUGUCCACCUCCUCAUCUUCCUCGUCCUCGUCCUCAUCCUCGUCCUCCUUCCAAUCCUCCUCCUCCUCCUCCUCAUCCUCCUCGUCCUCCUCGAUCUCUUCAUCUUCAUCAACAUCCUCUUCUAUUCCUCCAGUCGACUCAAAGGAGCGAGGGGUUCAAUGCUUUGUUGAAGAAGUAUGUCAACCCAAACUUGUCAGUGCUACAGUUUGUGAGGCAGUACCAGAAAAUACAAGAAAAGUGUCUGGUUGCACAGGAUGGGCAAGACUUCAGGACCGAUGAGAAUGAGCGAAGACGAUGGUCAAGGCAUCCACUUGAGAAGCAUGCUUCCACUGUAUACACAAAGAAUAUGUUUUACAGGUUCUCCAAAGAGUUUGAGAAAACUGCAGAAUAUGAUGUGAAGCCUGUAGGGCAGUUCCAAUAUUGGUUGGAGCCCAAUAAUAGCUUUGUUUUUGGGUAUGGAAAAAGGAACUAUCUUGUUACAGCAAUAGAAGAGGAUGAAAGCUAUUGCUGCGAGUGCAGCAAGUUUGAUAGGGAUGGAAUCAUUUGCUGCCACAUUAUGAGAGUUAUGGUCAGAAUGGGUGUGAAAUUAAUACCAGAAAGGUACAUCCUUAAAAGGUGGACGCAACAAGCAAUUGCUAGUGAUACUAACCAGGUCCAAAAUGUGAAUGCACCAGUGGGACUUGUGGCCCGUGGGAUGCCAUUGACUAGUGAGAAAACUUUGAGAUUUACCAACGCAACCACCGCGUUUGCAGCAAUAGCAGUGGAAGGUUGUACAAAUGAUGAAAACUAUGCUAUUUUGGAGAAGCACAUCAAGGAGAUGCGAUCUGAAUUUGAAGAAAUUAAGAAAAGGACGAUGGCAAAUAGGCAAAACACUAGUGGUGCAGAAGGUGGUGCUACAGAAGGUGCACAAAAUGGUACAGGUGUCUCUACUCUAACUGGACCUUCAUUGCAAACUGCAAGUUUAAAAAACUAGACACUAUAUUCUGCUUUGCUUCAUUUUUGUAUGUCUGUACUAUAUUGAUUAGUUGCUUGUUGCAUUUCACAUUGUAGGUGCAGUGGCUGGUCCAAAUACAUCAAGUGUAGCGAACCCCCCAAAAUCAAAAGCUAAAGGGCGCAGGAAGGAGAAGGCACACAAAAAAGGGAUGAAUGGUCAAGCGAAGAGGAAGAAUAAGUGCAGCAUUUGCAAAUCAUAUGAUCACAAUGCACAGAGAUGCCCGGACAAACUCAAAAAAAAAAUAAAAACAGUUUCUUAGUGGGAAUACAUACCUAGCAAAUAUUCAUUUUACAUCUCCAUGCAAUAUUGUUUUCCGGAUGUUGGAGCCAUUUGUAUGUGAGCAUCUUUCGAAUAGUUGGCAUAUCUUUUUCCUUAAACUCUGGCAUGUUAAUACCAUUCCAGUGUUCACAGUGCAUUAGCAUGUGGAACCCGCAGUCAUGACUGCAAAAAAAAAGUCAUAAUCAUAUGGAGGAUGACAGAAACUUUAGAUAUGAAAAUAAAUAUGUAUGUUGAACUGUUGACCUACUUGUUUGACUGCAAUGGAACAUUAAUAUCAAUCAGUUGGUACUUGUCAAUAUUCUUCCUUGAAUUAGGGUAAUGUUUGCGCCAAAGUUCCUUAAUUGCAGUGAUCAAAUUGUUGCAGCAUGUCUUCAAGUUAAUGUCAGCGAGAGACCUCAUAGAAUCGAGAACUUCAAACCUUUCUUCCCUUAGGUUCAAGACUAGAAGGAAGAAGUGGCCCACUGUUCUAUCAAGCCUUUUGAAACGAAUAUUUUGCAAUACAGGAAACAUGACCUACAAAAAAAAAUGCUAGCAAAAAAAUGAGAAUAGCUACUAAAACCAAAAAAAAGGCUUCAUAGCAUCUAUAUUGCCAGAAAAAACAUAAUCCUUGAGUGAUAUAACAGCUAGCAGGCUUCUAAAAAAAUAAAAAUAAAAAAAUGGUCGUGAAUCGAAUUGAGAUAUGGACAAUUUAACAUAGGAACUACCUGUUGUUCUCUGCCCUACACAUGUCAUAUUUUGUUAUUUUCUAUAAAUUGCUCCACAAAUUUUAGAACACAAAAACAAAAAGUUAUGAUGGUAGGACACCAAGAUUGCAUAUUUUUUUUUAAAAAAAAAGUAUAACCUAAAACGAAACAAUAUUAUAGCCUAAUGAACAUAGUUAAAAUGCCUAUUUCGAAAAAAAAGAAGAGGAUUAAGUGGACGAUCAAUUACCAAUUGAGAACGGUCUAGGUGAUGGAGGCUUCUUUGGAAAGCACAAUUAAUCUCCCCAUUAUCCAGAAUCCCAUCUUGUAGAAAAGACUGUAAAAAAAGAGAAUUAAAAAAAUAAUGUUAGAAAAAAAGUGCUUGUUUGAAAAAAAUAAGCAUACAAACUAAGAAACAUCAGUAAAAGUAAAAAGAAAAGGGGGGAUUCUCACAGCUAUUCUUAGUGGGAGUAUUUGUUUUACAGGGAUCUUGGCCUUUCUGUCUUUUAAUGCAUAUAUAGCAAUUUCAGCUACUGUGUUGAAUAAUUUUCCACCUGGUUUAACUGAUUCAGAAAGGUGCUUCAAGCUCACAUAGUAAUCUGGAUAACUCGCUGCGUACAACAUAGAUGGGUCAUAGUUAAAAAAACAAAAAUACAAAAUGAAUUCGAGAGUUUAACAGGCGGAAAUGCCAGUCAAAAAAGAAAAAGUUGCACAUACUCUCCUUGGCUUGAGCUUUGACUCGAACUCCUGGUUGACCUUCUAGUGGCCGAGCAUACCACAUCAUAUGCACGACUUGCAACCUUGCUGCACUUCAAGCCGUUUCUGGCAUAAUCAAUAUAUGGGGACUGCAAAGCACGCCCUGGUCGUGCUGGCCUCCUAGGCGGAGGUUGAUACGCAGGUGUGUGUGAAGUGCUGGGAGCAGAUUGUAGACCAUAGGUUGUAGCUGAUGUUGUCUUUUCAACUCUUGUUGGCUUCCUUUCUGAAUGUUCAAUUGGGUUAUCUGUAGGUACAGGAGUUUGCUUAACUGCACUGCUAGAAAGUAACUUAUCUGUCCUAUUCCUUUCUAUAUCUUCAAUUUGGGCAUCAAGUUCUUUAAAUUGUUCUUCACUUAAAUUGUCCCAAAAAUAAUCAUCAUCAUAUUUCCUUGCGUUCCUUUCUGAAUUACAUUCACUUGGCUUUGAUGGUGGACGUUCACGGGGUGUGGGAAAAUCAAUGAAUCUCAUAAUGUCCAUUGGUGGGGGAUCAAAAUCCCAUUUAGAGUGCUUUUCUGAUUUUUCUUUGUUUUCCACAACACUAGCAGAAGGAGGGAGCCUUUAGCCAUGAAAAAAGAACAAAAAAUUAGUGUUAGUACUGUUGUGUUACUAGAAAAAAACUUGAUUUAAAAACAAUGACAAAAAAAUGCUAUCUAUUCAUAGUUGCAAUACUAUCUCUCCAUAGUCGAGCAAUUUUAUUCAAAUGACAUAACAAAGGAGUGAUACUAGUGUAGGUGACCAUUUAACACAUAAACACAACUGACCCAUAAAGUAUGAAAAAAUAGACACAAAAAAAAAUAUAAUUUCUACCAAAUUACAAAUAACUUGCCUCACUAAUAAAUAUUAAGUUGCUUAACACAAAAAAAUAUAUCCCAUUUACCUCAGCCUUUCCCUUCUUGAUUGAGAAGGAACAACUUCUAGUGGUGUUGGUUCUGAUUCCCUUGAAUCACCAGCCGGUGCAUCAACUUUAGUGUGCUUUUUUGAUUUUUCAUUCUUUUCCACAACACUAGCAGGAGGAGGGAGCCUUUAGCCAUGAAAAAAAACAAAAAAAAGGGCUUAGUACUGUUAUGUUACUAGAAAAAAACUUGAUUUAAAAACAAGGACAAAAAAAUGCUAUCUGCUCAUAGUUGCAAAUACUAUCUCUCCAUAGUCGAUCAACUCAUUGAAGUGACAUAACAAAAAGAUUGAUACUAGUAUAGGUGACCAUUUAACACAGAAACGCGGCUGCCCCAUAAGUAUAAAAAUAGACACACAAAAAAAAUUGCUACCAAAUUACAAAUAACUUGCCUCACUACUAAUAUUAACUUGCUUAAUAACUAAAAU